rnacentral:lncRNA from 1 species
GUGUAUUUCUGCACAUUUAUGUGUGUGUGUGUGUGUGUGUGUGUGUGUGUGUGUGUGUGUGUGUGUGUGUGUGUGUGUGUGUGUGUGUGUGUGAGUGUCCAAACCUCACAGACUCUGUGAAAUCCCAGUACUGUGCCCUCUGAGUGAGUGCUGUUCUCUUGUUGUUGUUGCAAGUAGGGUGUGUGUGUGUGUGUGUGUGUGUGUUCGCUUGUUGUUGUUGCAGUAGGGGCACAAAAGCAGGUAGCUGGAGCAGUGUGUGUGUGUGUGUGUGUGUGUGUGUGUGUGUGUGUGUGACUACAGACUAAUAUUGGCACAGACAACAGCUGUUGGACAGACUGCUACAAUUAUAGCAUCAGAUCGGAGAGAGAGAGAGAGAGAGAGGGAGAGGGAGAGGAAUGAGAGAGAGAGAGAGAGAGAGAGAGAGAGGGGGAGAGGGAUAGAGAGAGAGAGAGCGGAAUGAUAGAAGAAGAAAUGUGGUAGGAAGAGGGAGAGCGGGUAAAGGAGAGAGAGGAGAGAGACAGGGAGAAAGAGAGAGGGAGGGUGGGAGGAGUGAGAGAAGGAAAGAGUUGGUAGGGAGAGAUAGGGAGAGGAGAGAGAGCAAAGGAGAGAGGGGAGGAGAGAGUUGGUAGUGAGAGAGAGAGAGAGAGAGAGAGAGAGAGAGAGAGAGAGAGAGAGGAGAGGCAGAAGAGCGUGAGUGUCAGUAGAAUGUGGAGAGCUGGUCGCCGUGGCAGCAUGUUCCCGUCGUCGCUCGCGCUGUUCCUGCCCCUGCUGCUCAGCCAUGUGUGUGUGCUGGCUCAGUCCGUGCUCAACGUCUACCCCUUCCGUCCAGCUGUGCAGGCUCUGGAGGGCAAACGGCCAUUUGCCCCAUUUGCCCCAUGCUGUCUGUUGACCCCCCCGCCACCCCCCCUCUUCCCCCCUCCCCCCAACCUCUGGAGGCGUUACCCCCGCCAGGUGAGCUCAGGUCAUGUGACCUCCACUUCCUGCUCUCAUUCGCCCUUUACUGUCUCCAAGUACAUGAUGUCUGUGUGUGUGUGUGUGUGUGUGUGUGUGUGUGUGUGUGUGUGUGUGUGUGUGUGUGUGUGUGUGUGUGUGUGUGUGUGAUAUGAUGGCGCUGUAAUUUACAUUAUUAAAUGUUCUUCCAUGAGAUAAUAAUAAAAUAAUAAAAAUAAUUUC